rnacentral:rRNA from 1 species
CCCUACGGGGCGCAGCAGGCGCGAAAACUUUACAAUGCGGGAAACCGUGAUAGGGGAACUCCGAGUGCCCGUAAAAUCGGGCUGUCCACCAGUUUAAAUAACUGGCGAAGAAAGGGCCGGGCAAGACCGGUGCCAGCCGCCGCGGUAAUACCGGCGGCUCGAGUGGUGGCCACUAUUACUGGGCUUAAAGCGUUCGUAGCUGGUUUGUUAAGUCUCUGGGGAAAUCUUCCGGCUUAACCGGAAGGCGUCUCAGGGAUACUGGCAGACUAGGGACCGGGAGAGGUGAGGGGUACUCCAGGGGUAGGAGUGAAAUCCUGUAAUCCUUGGGGGACCACCUGUGGCGAAGGCGCCUCACCAGAACGGCUCCGACAGUGAGGGACGAAAGCUGGGGGAGCAAACCGGAUUAGAUACCCGGGUAGUCCCAGCUGUAAACGAUGCGCGUUAGGUGUAUCAGUGACCACGAGUCACUGAGGUGCCGAAGAGAAAUCGUGAAACGUGCCGCCUGGGAAGUACGGUCGCAAGGCUGAAACU